rnacentral:rRNA from 1 species
CCUACGGGAGGCAGCAGUAAGGAAUAUUGGUCAAUGGACGAAAGUCUGAACCAGCCAUGCCGCGUGAAGGAUGAAGGUCCUCUGGAUUGUAAACUUCUUUUAUCUGGGACGAAAAAAGGGCUUUCUAGCUCACUUGACGGUACCAGAGGAAUAAGCACCGGCUAACUCCGUGCCAGCAGCCGCGGUAAUACGGAGGGUGCAAGCGUUAUCCGGAUUUACUGGGUUUAAAGGGAGCGUAGGUGGGCAGGUAAGUCAGUGGUGAAAUCUCUGGGCUUAACCCGGAAACUGCCAUUGAUACUAUCUGUCUUGAAUAUCCUGGAGGUAAGCGGAAUAUGUCAUGUAGCGGUGAAAUGCUUAGAUAUGACAUAGAACACCCAUUGCGAAGGCAGCUUACUACGGGAUUAUUGACACUGAGGCUCGAAAGCGUGGGGAUCAAACAGGAUUAGAUACCCUGGUAGUCCACGCCCUAAACGAUGGAUACUCGACAUCAGCGAUACACUGUGGUGUCUGAGCGAAAGCAUUAAAGUAUCCCACCUGGGAAGUAACGGACCGCAAAGGUUGAAAUUCAAAUGAAUUGACGG